UAAUUGGUGAUUCCGGUGUUUCUAAUGUGGAUGUACAUUCUGUUUCUGGGCUCCCAUCUUCUGAUCAUGAACUUACAAUUGGUGAUUCCGGUGUUAGUAAUGCACAUGGACAUUCUCUUUCUGGGCUCCUAUAUUCUGAUCAGGGACCUGCAGUUGGUGAUUCCAACGAUUCUAAUGCAGAUGUACAUUCUGUUACAGUUGGUGAUUCUGGCGUUAGUAAUGCAGAUGAACAUUCUCUUUCUGGGCUCCUAUAUUCUGAUCAGGGACCUGCAAUUGGUGAUUCCAGUGAUUCUAAUGCAGAUGUACAUUCUGUUACAGUUGGUGAUUCUGGUGUUAGUAAUGCAGAUGAACAUUCUCUUUCUGGUCUCCUAUAUUCUGAUCAUGGACCUGCAAUUGGUGAUUCCAGUGAUUCUAAUGCAGAUGUACAUUCUGUUACAGUUGGUGAUUCCGGUGUUAGUAAUGCAGAUGAACAUUCUCUUUCUGGGCUCUUAUAUUCUGAUCUUGGACCUGCA
rnacentral:lncRNA from 1 species